rnacentral:pre_miRNA from 1 species
UCUUAUAGGUGAGCAAAGAAAGUGGUUUCUUGAGAUGGAAUCUACUCCUGGUAAAUGUGUUGUGAA